UACGAAGGGGGCUAGCGUUGUUCGGAAUUACUGGGCGUAAAGGGCGCGUAGGCGGGUUUGUAAGUUAGGGGUGAAAUCCUGGAGCUCAACUCCAGAACUGCCUUUGAUACUGAAGAUCUUGAGUUCGGGAGAGGUGAGUGGAAUUGCGAGUGUAGAGGUGAAAUUCGUAGAUAUUCGGAAGAACACCAGUGGCGAAGGCGGCUCACUGGCCCGAUACUGACGCUGAGGCACGAAAGCGUGGGGAGCAAACAGG
rnacentral:rRNA from 1 species